rnacentral:rRNA from 1 species
ACGAACGCUGGCGGCGUGCUUAACACAUGCAAGUCGAACGGAAAGGCCCUGCUUUUGUGGGGUGCUCGAGUGGCGAACGGGUGAGUAACACGUGAGUAACCUGCCCUUGACUUUGGGAUAACUUCAGGAAACUGGGGCUAAUACCGGAUAGGAGCUCCUGCUGCAUGGUGGGGGUUGGAAAGUUUCGGCGGUUGGGGAUGGACUCGCGGCUUAUCAGCUUGUUGGUGGGGUAGUGGCUUACCAAGGCCUUGACGGGUAGCCGGCCUGAGAGGGUGACCGGCCACAUUGGGACUGAGAUACGGCCCAGACUCCUACGGGAGGCAGCAGUGGGGAAUAUUGCACAAUGGGCGGAAGCCUGAUGCAGCAACGCCGCGUGCGGGAUGACGGCCUUCGGGUUGUAAACCGCUUUCGCCUGUGACGAAGCGUGAGUGACGGUAAUGGGUAAAGAAGCACCGGCUAACUACGUG